GCUGGUGUUUCGGUCAUUCCGUGUGUUCGGGUGUCUUCUGGAAUCCUCGGUUCUGCAGGCGAUUGGGUGGGGGUCGGCGUGCUUCUCCUCUGUGGCCGGCUACUGGUUGGUUGUCGCGCUGCUUCCGGUCGUUUGCUCUCGGUGGUGGUAGGGUUACGUGGAGCUGGAGGCAGACGGGUUCGUCCUUCGCUUUCCAGCGGCCUCGGCAGCUCCGCCUCCUUUUCUUGUUCCGGUCGCUGGCUGCACGGCUCGAUCUGCUCUUCUUGUUUUGUGCCUGCGUCAGUGCAUCGCCUCGCCUGCGCCGCGUGGGUUCGGGACGAUUGCUCGUCGCUGGUUGCUUGCAGCCUUGCGCCGCCGGAUUUGGGGAUUUGUUUCGCCCUCGCAAGUUUUGAUUCGCCGGCGCUCUCCUGGAGGAGUGACGCAGGCACGCAAGCAUCUAACUGCCGAUGAGGUCGCUCUACAAGAGCUCGCUUGCGGCGUCCAAGUUCGUCAGGCCGUGGACAGCGAGCCGGACGUGCAGAGGGAGGCCCAUGCCUGUUUGGUUGCUACAAGCAGCUUCUCUGUGACCCCCCAAGACAAGCUCUUCUUCUACCUUCACCCGCCAUCAGCGAGUAGAACGCAGCCACGCCUGCUCCUCAGCGAAGGGUUCCUUGAUGGCUGCAACGACCAAAUUUGGCUACAGCCCUGUAUAUCAGGUGGCGAUAGCUCGAGGGUUCGCAUGAUUGUAGGGAGCUCAGCAGCCUGCAAUGUGAGCUCCUCACAGGGACGAUGAGUCUGCUGGCCCAUUGCAUCUGGCUCUAUUGCUUCUUAGUUGUAAUAGUUACAGUAUGGUUGUUGUCGAGGGGAUCGGAGAAGGUUUGAAAAAUGAAAAUCCACUCGGGUGUGCACCAGUAAGAGCAAUACUCAGCACUAGGUACAUCUUCAACUAAGCGUGCUUAGUAGGUACUGACUCCGUUCCAUAAUUCUUGUCUCAAAUUUGUCCAAAAAUGGAUGCAUCUGUUUCUAAAAGGCGUCUAGAUACAUGUAAUAUUCCGACAAGAAUUAUGGAACGGAGGGAGUACAUGUCUAUUUCUUGCCUUUUUUCUCCCUUUCUGACUUUAAUUACUAAUCUUCAUGUAGGUUUCAAUCAAGUAUAUAUGUGGUAAUCCUGUCCGUUGACAUUAAUCCCUAUGUUUUUGCCCUUUUUCCUUACAUCAUGUACAGUAUGGCAUGAUUAUAUUUACUCCGUAUCAAAUAGUGUAUCUAUUUCCGGCUUAUGCAUGAUUCCUUGCUUGGGGUUGAAAUGCAACAUAAAAAUUCAAAUGAUAGUGUUUUUAUAUACGGCUCUCUAUCUCUUUCUUGAUCUACAAAUUGUUUUUGCUUCUUUGUAAGAGUGUUCCUUACGAAUUUGUUUUAAUUUGACACUUAAGAGAUAUUUUUUGUUUCAUUUUGAUACUAUUGUUUCACUGUCGUUCCUGUCCUAGGUCCUAAUUUCAUUGGUGGAUGCUCCAUUUUUGACAAGUUGCUAUUGCUACAACAUACACUCUGCUUUUAGGAUUUUAGCAAGGUAUUCGAUGGAAUUAAAUAACUGUUAGCAUUAUGCCAGGUGUGUGGUCAUUUACCUGAAGAGCUACUUUACUGACCGAAUAGUACUUUCAGUGUCGUUGCCUAGGAGAAAGAUGAUGUGCUAGCAUAAAAUAUUGUUGACCAUGGAUAAAAUUUACUGUAGGCGACAAAUAGUACAGAUUGGAGAAUGACAUGAUGGGAAUCAACAUGAUGCGAUAGUAUAUAUCUUGAUUGUACACAUCAGGUUUUUAUUAGAUCCCAGUAUAUACAUAUAUUUUAAUUUCCGAGGUUAUUUUUUCCAUGGUAUUUACAUUAUGCAUUUGUUUAUCACUCUUUUUCUAUGCCUUCGCUUUGCUGGCCAUAUAGAAAGUACCAUUGUAGAACCUAAAAUGUAUGCUUUCUUAUUCUGUGCAGAAGGAAGUGUGAUAAUUUUGAAGCUGAAUGAAGCCAGCACCUUCAACAAAUUCAUGGUCUCCAAGAACAUCCAUGAGAAAAGGAAAGCCAGCUUCUUGCAUUAGAAGAACAAGUCUUUGUCUUUAUCCUUUGCUUUCAUUUGUACCUUCUAGGAAACUUUGUUGUAUUCUUUUUCUAUAAGCUUAUGCUUACCUAUGUUCUCCAAAUAAAAUGACUCGGUUAUUUUUGAAAGGCAUCUUCCAUCACAAAA